GCAGUGGCAGGAAUAGUGUCAUGUAUUUCAAGACUUCACCUUGCUUCAGCCAUAAUUUGCUAUGACUGUGAUGCAUUGCCCCACCAAAGAGAUUGUUCUCGGGUAACUGAGUGUGGUCCUGACGAGGAAUGUUAUGGUGAACGUGAGCAAACACCUGAUGGGUUGAUUAAA